GGCGGACGGGUGAGUAAUGCCUGGGAAAUUGCCCUGAUGUGGGGGAUAACCAUUGGAAACGAUGGCUAAUACCGCAUAAUGCCUUCGGGCCAAAGAGGGGGACCUUCGGGCCUCUCGCGUCAGGAUAUGCCCAGGUGGGAUUAGCUAGUUGGUGAGGUAAGGGCUCACCAAGGCGACGAUCCCUAGCUGGUCUGAGAGGAUGAUCAGCCACACUGGAACUGAGACACGGUCCAGACUCCUACGGGAGGCAGCAGUGGGGAAUAUUGCACAAUGGGCGCAAGCCUGAUGCAGCCAUGCCGCGUGUAUGAAGAAGGCCUUCGGGUUGUAAAGUACUUUCAGCAGUGAGGAAGGUGGAGUCGUUAAUAGCGGCCUCACUUGACGUUAGCUGCAGAAGAAGCACCGGCUAACUCCGUGCCAGCAGCCGCGGUAAUACGGAGGGUGCGAGCGUUAAUCGGAAUUACUGGGCGUAAAGCGCAUGCAGGUGGUUCAUUAAGUCAGAU
rnacentral:rRNA from 1 species